GAAAUAAUAUUCUUGGAGGGAGAAAAAGGAAUCGCAUGAAGAUAGUAUAAGUGGAGGUUUCAAUCUCUUCUCCGUCUCUCUGACGUUUGGGAAUUCUAUCGGAGCAGUCGGAGGAAUAAUUGAAAGAAUUUCAGGGAACUGCUAGAGAUGUUGCUAUCACUGGCUGAAGACACGUGAGUCCGCUCAGAGGUAAGGGAUGAGUUAUUCAUAGUUGGGGAUUAG
rnacentral:lncRNA from 1 species